AACCUGCGGAAGGAUCAUUGUCGUGACCCUGACCAAAACAGACCGUGAAUGUGUAAUCCAUUCCGCCGGGUGAUGGGACUUGCACCUAUCUCUCGGUAAAGGACACCAACCUUCUUCUGGAGGGGGUGGCCACAAAAGAACCCACGGCGCGGUAUGGCGUCAAGGAACACUAAUAUUGACUUGCUUGGGGCUGCUACCGGCCUGCCGGAUGCACCUCUUGCAGCGAUGCUAUGAUAAACCACAUGACUCUCGGCAACGGAUAUCUCGGCUCUUGCAUCGAUGAAGAACGUAGCAAAAUGCGAUACCUGGUGUGAAUUGCAGAAUCCCGUGAACCAUCGAGUUUUUGAACGCAAGUUGCGCCCAAGACCUUCUGGUUGAGGGCACGUCUGCCUGGGCGUCACGCCAAAAGACACUCCCACCCUUCGUGGUGAGGAUGUGGUGUCUGGCCCCUCGUGCCGUAGGGUGCGAUGAGCCAAAGUUGGGGCUGCCGGCGGGUGCCGAUCACAGCACAAGGUGGAUGGCYGAAGUCGUUCUCGGUGCUAUGAUCCGCACCGCAACCGGUGAUAAUACAGCCAUUUUUGGACCCAUGGACCGAAGCGUUGGCCGCUCGGACCGCGACCCCAGGUCAGUCGGGAUUACCCGCUGAAUUUAA
rnacentral:rRNA from 1 species